CUAGAGUUCUCUUUGACUCACAAAAAAGGAACUCACAAUCAAUAUUGAAACUAAUGGUACCACCGUUUCUAUGCCAUAAUGGAUAGAAAGAAUUUUUUAAUAAAUUACAACAAUAGAAGAAAACUGGAUAGGUCUGAGCAAUGACACAAUCAAUUAUUGAACAUACACAGAUAUUUGAGUCUAUAGUACAAAGCAACAAUUGUCAAUAUUUAGGAAGUGGGG
rnacentral:lncRNA from 1 species